rnacentral:lncRNA from 1 species
AAUUAUAUGAAUGUGGCCAAUGAGUAUACUACUGUUUAUCAUAAUGUUAAUAAUUAUGAUAAUAAUUAUGAUAAUAAUCAUGAUAAUUAUCAUGAUAAUUAUCAUGAUAAUAAGGAUAAGAACAUUAUUGAAGAAAACAAAUUUAUUCAGGAUAAUGUAGCUAUUAAAAGUGUAAAUCCACAACAAAAUAAAAAUAUAAACAAUACAAGAAAUAAAAGUAGUGAGAUACAUACAAAUGUAGAAGGAAAUAAAAAUACAAGAAAAAAUGUAAACACACGAGAGUAUACAAAUAUAAUUAAAAGUACUAGUGUAGGUAAAAACAGUAUAAAUACUAAAGCACAUGAUAAUUAUAUGAAUAAAAAAAUAAGUAAUACAGAUGAUCUAACAAAAAGUACAAAAAUAAAUGAAAUGAAUUUUAGUAAUCUAAAACAUGUUCAUAUAAACAAUGACGUGAUAAACUGUGACAAUAUAAGUAAUGACAAUUUGAACCAUCAUAAUAAUAUUACUGUGCAAGAUAUAAAAACAAAUAAAACAUAUGAAUCAAAAAAUAAAAAUACUAAUCAAACUGUUUAUUUAAAUGAUAAUUUUCAAAAGGUAUUAAACUCCCAAGAUAUUCAAAAAUAUUCUUCUAUCUUAGAAAAACAUUCAAAUUCUAUGAAAGUUGUUGUACUAAAUGGUAAUAAUAAAAAUUUUAACAUUAAUGACAAUAAUGAAAAAAAUGGUGUAAAUAAUAUGAUGAACGUUUUGAGACCCACAGUAAAUACAAAUUCCAAAAAUGUAAACGAAAAAGAUAUGAACAAGUCAUAUAAUUUUGAUCAAGAAAAAGCAUUUAAUAUGAACCAAACAAAUACUAUUAGUAAUCAUCCUUUAAAUGUAGUAGGUAAUAAUGAAUCAAAAAAUAAUUAUACCGACAUAAUAGUCACACCAUUAAAUAUGCAUUUAGAACAACCAGUAAAAAAUGAUAUAUAUAAUACAGGUUUAAAAUUCGUAUAUCCAAAUAAUAAAAGUAUUAAUAAUGAAAUGUAUAUAGGAGACAAUAUAAAUGUUAGGUGUAAAGACAAAUAUAUGUCUUCUAUAAACCCUACUAGCAAUAGCUCUAAUAAUACGAAUAAAUAUAAUAGUAAGAAUAACUAUAGCAGUACGAAUAACUAUAGUAGUACGAAUAACUAUAGCAGUACGAACAGCUAUAGCAAUAUGAAUAACUAUAGUAAUAAUAAUGCUAAUAAAUUAUAUAACAAGUAUGUUAAUAAUGUUCCUAAUGUCGGGUAUAACGACACUGCCCUAAAUGGUACUACAAUGAACAAUCAAAAUAAUCCAAUUAAAAACAGUGC